rnacentral:rRNA from 1 species
UACGCAGGGGGCUAGCGUUGCUCGGAAUUACUGGGCGUAAAGCGCACGUAGGCGGAUUGUUAAGUCGGGGGUGAAAUCCUGGAGCUCAACUCCAGAACUGCCUUCGAUACUGGCGAUCUCGAGUUCGGGAGAGGUGAGUGGAACUGCGAGUGUAGAGGUGAAAUUCGUAGAUAUUCGCAAGAACACCGGUGGCGAAGGCGGGUCUCUGGGCAGUAACUGACGCUGAGGAGCGAAAGCGUGGGGAGCAAACAGG